ACCGUGCGCACGCGCUAAAAUGAGUGUCAAUUUUGACGCAUUCUUUUCCAGCAACUCUUUAAACUACUGCUGUAGUGAGCACUGUUAAUAAACUGUGAUAUCCUCUAAAGGAGACAUGAACUGGCAAUGUUAUAUGUUACUUUUGGUGGCGGUGACAUCUAUUUGUAAGAGCAGGAGCGACGAGGAGGAUAGGAGACCAAUGGAAAACACAGAUUAUUACUCACAAGUCUACCUAUUACAGCAACUUAUAAGUGGUGAAAUUAACAAGGAAAUGAAACAGAAACAAUUCCAGAAAGAUUUAGCAAGAGUAUUAAUGGAUUCUGGUGAGGAGCUACAACCUGUUCCGCGAAAGAAGAGUUACCUGUGGUUCAAAUCCAAACCCAGUGGAAUUCCUAUUCAGACAAGAGUUGGAAUAGGCCAGCCCCUGCAACCGCUCCGGGAUGAAGCAACCAAACCAAAAGGCCUAUUUCGAUACGGAAGAAAAUAAGUGUACUAACCCAUAUGUUUAAAAUGAAUUCUAAUGCAUAUUUUGACCACUAAUUGUAAUGAAAAUGAAAGCAAACCAUUUAUUGACAAUAAUCAAAUGAAAUUUGUUAUUUAAAAUUUGCGUGGACGCAUUAGACCAUAUAUUUUAUUUAUAAAAGCAUUAUUUUGACUAAUGUUCCUGUGCUCUUACUACAUUCAAGUGAUAACGAAGCAGAUUCGCUUCAAAUCUGUUUGCAUCUUAUUUUCGAAACUGUGUCUUAAUUUUAGCUUACCUCGAAUUCAAUAGAGGAAAUAAAUGUAAUUAAACCGG